UCAGAGCCACAGAUGAUGGGACUGCAACAGGAACAGCUACGGUCACCGUGCCAAUUGGAGAUGUCACUGUCGGCCCUUUUACCACAACCACAAAAGAGUUGUGCGUAGCGGAUGGUUUAGGUCCAGGGGAAUCCGUUGGUGACGUUUCUGCUACCGGUGUCGCCUCAUAUGCGACCUCUGAUGCCACCUUUGAUGUUGAUUCAGCUACUGGAGCUGUGACAACGGCUUCCGGUGUUACUCUCGACAAGGCAACAAAAGCCGAGCAUACGGUCACCAUUACAGGCACGGGAAACGGCGGUGAAACCAAUGACCUUACACUAACGGUGAAAGUUGGUGACUGCAGCGGGA